rnacentral:lncRNA from 1 species
CAAGUCUGGACAUGUUACAUAAAGUGACUACUUGAAGGCACUGAAGAGGCGACAGAAGUAGAUAACCUCUAGUGUUGCAUGUCUAUUUGGAGAACAGGAGAAGAAAAGAUAAAUCAGCAGAUGUAGUCUGCACGCUGGCUUUGUAUUCUGGGGAAUGAAACACGUGAAGCCAGAAAAUCAUGAAUGCUUAAAAAAAAAAAAAAAUGGGGAUAUCCAGAAAGAAAGUGUCAAAGAGGGGAUACCCAAACCAAAUCCAAGAAACAGAGUUUUUAGUUCAAGUCCAAGAAAAUUUGCUAAAAUAAGGGAAAAACAAGACUUAUCAGAGGAAAACAGAAUCUGGAAUCUUAGCAUUCAUGAUAUCCAAGAUUCAAGCCAAAACUACUUCACACAUAAAGCAUAGAGAAAAAUGGAACAAAUCCUUAAGAGAAAAGUCAACCAAAUCUGACCUGGAGGUGAACAAGAUGUUAGAAUUUGAAAGGCAAGGGUUUAAAAGUAUUUUUAUAAUUUUAAAGGGUUUUAUAUCUGUUCUAAGUGAAAAUCCAGGGGGAAAGGUUGUUUUGGGUGAAUCAAAAUCCCAGCAAAGAAGUGGGAAAUUUCAUCAGAAAUAGAUACAACAAAAAAAUGACCAAGUGGAAGUCCUUUGUUAUUGAUG